AUACGUAUGGGGCAAGCGUUAUCCGGAUUUAUUGGGCGUAAAGCGCGUGUAGGCGGCUUGUUAAGUCAGAUGUGAAAACCGGGGGCUCAACCCGCGGCCUGCAUCUGAAACUGGCAGGCUUGAGUCUGGUAGAGGAAAGUGGAAUUCCUAGUGUAGCGGUGAAAUGCGCAGAUAUUAGGAGGAACACCAGUGGCGAAGGCGGCUUUCUGGGCCAUGACUGACGCUGAGACGCGAAAGCUAGGGGAGCGAACAGGAUUAGAAACCCCGGUAGUCC
rnacentral:rRNA from 1 species